rnacentral:rRNA from 1 species
AUUGAACGCUGGCGGCAGGCCUAACACAUGCAAGUCGAGCGGAUGAAGGGAGCUUGCUCCUGGAUUCAGCGGCGGACGGGUGAGUAAUGCCUAGGAAUCUGCCUGGUAGUGGGGGACAACGUUUCGAAAGGAACGCUAAUACCGCGUACGGCCUACGGGAGAAAGCAGGGGACCUUGGGGCCUUGCGCUAUCAGAUGAGCCUAGGUCGGAUUAGCGAGUUGGUGAGGUAAAGGCUCACCAAGGCGACGAUCCGUAACGGGUCUGAGAGGAUGAUCAGUCACACUGGAACUGAGACACGGUCCAGACUCCUACGGGAGGCAGCAGUGGGGAAUAUUGGACAAUGGGCGAAAGCCUGAUCCAGCCAUGCCGCGUGUGUGAAGAAGGUCUUCGGAUUGUAAAGCACUUUAAGUUGGGAGGAAGGGUUGUAGAUUAAUACUCUGCAAUUUUGACGUUACCGACAGAAUAAGCACCGGCUAACUCUGUGCCAGCAGCCGCCGUAACAC